UAUAUACUCCCUCCGUUCCUAAAUAUUUGUCUUUCUAGACAUUUCAAAUGACUACUACAUACGGAUGUAUGUAAACAUAUUUUAGAGUAUAGAUUCAUCUAUUUUGCUCCGUAUGUAGUCACUUGUUGAAAUGCCUAGAAAGACAAGUAUUUAGGAACGGAGGGAGUAUAAA
rnacentral:pre_miRNA from 1 species